rnacentral:rRNA from 1 species
GAUUAACGCGAAGAACCUUACCAGGGUUUGACAUCCCGUGCCACGCUCAGAGAUGGGCGGUCCCCGCAAGGGGCGCGGAGACAGGUGCUGCAUGGCUGUCGUCAGCUCGUGUCGUGAGAUGUUGGGUUAAGUCCCGCAACGAGCGCAACCCUCGCCUUUAGUUGCCAUCAUUCAGUUGGGCACUCUAAAGGGACCGCCGGCGACAAGCCGGAGGAAGGUGGGGAUGACGUCAAGUCCUCAUGGCCCUUACACCCUGGGCUACACACGUGCUACAAUGGCGGUGACAGUGGGCAGCGACCACGCGAGUGGAUGCGAAUCCCAAAAAACCGUCCCAGUUCAGAUUGCACUCUGCAACUCGGGUGCAUGAAGGUGGAAUCGCUAGUAAUCGCAGAACAGCAGGCUGCGGUGAAUACGUUCCCGGGCCUUGUACACACCGAAUC